GAUGAACGCUGGCGGCGUGCCUAAUACAUGCAAGUCGAGCGAACCUCUUCGGAGGUUAGCGGCGGACGGGUGAAUAACAUGUGGGCAACCUACCUUGUAGAUGGGGAUAACAUCGAGAAAUCGGUGCUAAUACCGAAUAACACUUUUCUCCAACUGGAGAAAAGUUAAAAGUUGGCUUUUGCUAACACUACAAGAUGGGCCCGCGGCGCAUUAGCUAGUUGGUGAGGUAACGGCUCACCAAGGCGAAGAUGCGUAGCCGACCUGAGAGGGUGAUCGGCCACACUGGGACUGAGACACGGCCCAGACUCCUACGGGAGGCAGCAGUAGGGAAUCUUCCGCAAUGGACGAAAGUCUGACGGAGCAACGCCGCGUGAGUGAUGAAGGCCUUCGGGUUGUAAAGCCCUUUUGUUGGGAAAGAAAUCCAGCUGGCUAAUACCCGGUUGGGAUGACGGUACCCAAAGAAUAAGCACCGGCUAACUUCGUGCCAGCAGCCGCAGUAA
rnacentral:rRNA from 1 species